UACAGAGGUCUCAAGCGUUGUUCGGAUUCAUUGGGCGUAAAGGGUGCGUAGGCGGCGCGGUAAGUCGGGUGUGAAAUCUCGGGGCUUAACUCCGAAACUGCAUUCGAUACUGCCGUGCUUGAGGACUGGAGAGGAGACUGGAAUUUACGGUGUAGCGGUGAAAUGCGUAGAUAUCGGAAGGAACACCAGUGGCGAAGGCGGCUCUCUGGACUCAUACUGGCACUGAGGCACGAAAGCGUGGGUAGCAAACAGG
rnacentral:rRNA from 1 species